rnacentral:tRNA from 1 species
GGGCCUGUAGCUCAGUCGGUUUAGAGCACGCCUCUGAUAAGGGCGGGGUCCCUGGUUCAAGUCCAGGCAGGCCCACCA